AUGAACGCUGGCGGCGUGCCUAAUACAUGCCAGUCGAGCGAACAGAUGAGGAGCUUGCUCCUCUGACGUUAGCGGCGGACGGGUGAGUAACACGUGGAUAACCUACCUAUAAGACUGGGAUAACUUCUGGAAACCGGAGCUAAUACCGGAUAAUAUAUUGAACCGCAUGGUUCAAUAGUGAAAGACGGUUUUGCUGUCACUUAUAGAUGGAUCCGCGCCGCAUUAGCUAGUUGGUAAGGUAACGGCUUACCAAGGCAACGAUGCGUAGCCGACCUGAGAGGGUGAUCGGCCACACUGGAACUGAGACACGGUCCAGACUCCUACGGGAGGCAGCAGUAGGGAAUCUUCCGCAAUGGGCGAAAGCCUGACGGAGCAACGCCGCGUGAGUGAUGAAGGUCUUCGGAUCGUAAAACUCUGUUAUUGGGGAAGAACAAAUGUGUAAGUAACUAUGCACGUCUUGACGGUACCUAAUCAGAAAGCCACGGCUAACUACGUG
rnacentral:rRNA from 1 species